rnacentral:rRNA from 1 species
UACGUAGGGGGCAAGCGUUGUCCGGAUUUAUUGGGCGUAAAGAGCGUGUAGGCGGCCACACAGGUCAGCUGUGAAAACUCGAGGCUCAACCUCGAGACGUCGGUUGAAACCGUCUGGCUAGAGUCCGGAAGAGGAGAGUGGAAUUCCCGGUGUAGCGGUGAAAUGCGCAGAUAUCGGGAAGAACACCCGUGGCGAAGGCGGCUCUCUGGGACGGUACUGACGCUGAGACGCGAAAGCGUGGGGAGCGAACAGG